CCUCGGCUGUUCUCCCAUCUGCAUCUCUCUCCACAUCUGCACGAUGAAGAUGCCGAUUUCCAGGUGCUGCGUGUGACAGGGAUCUGCCCGUGCAUCGCGCACACACAGAGAGAAGCUGGGAGAUGCCCCGGUCCCCGAGCCCGGAUGUGGCUAUGGCAGAUGAGGGUAGAUUUUGUCCGUGUAGGGUGAGGACUGAAGCCCACAGGUUCAUGCACUGAAUCCGUCAGGCUUAAAACAGGAGGAGUCCAGCCCAGCACUGCUUUCCUGAAUCACGGCUGUACCCGUGAGCAAAUAGCAUCUGCCUAAACCUGCUGUCAACUGCAAUGAGCUAAAGCAGAAACUCGGUGCCAGCUGAUGGUGGUUAUAUUUUUGGCCAGUACAUAUGAUCAUGAAACAGAGCAAAUAAAGGCUUUGGUUUUAUCCAUACCUUUUUAUUUAUUUCUGUAGUCUGUAGUAAGGGACCAUUGCUUUAAAAUCCUUAGACAUUUGGACAUAUUUUACAAGACAGUACAGUUUCUGAAUGUCACACAUUGAUCACAGUUUCAUACUACUACAUGCAUAUAAAGACACUGAUUUUUUUCUUUUUUUUUUAAUAAUUUGUUUACGGAAACAACUGGAGAGGUCAAUAAACUUCAACAGAGAAUGACUAAAUCAAAGUUACAAAAAAUGUAAGACUCUAAGUACACUAGUAUAUGGCUAAUGUUGCUGUAAUCACCCCAAAGUGCCAGGGUAUUGAAACAUUGCUUAAAAGGGGAGAGAACACCUGCUGAUGUAUUGCCCCUUGGGUCGAUCCAACAUAACCCAAUGAAGAGAUUCUGCAAGAUGUGCAGGAUCUGCUGGGCUGGGGCAAGAGGCACUGCCCUUCACUACAGACACGCUGGGCUGGGUUCCCCAGUGCUCCCCCAUUGCGCAGCUUCAAGACUAACUGCGGUGCAAGGCAAUGGAGGAACUUGUCAUGUUCUGCCCUUUCUCAAGCCAGGUCACAGUCAGUUCCAAUUUCCAGCUACAAAAGCAAUUUGAUCUACGUGUACUAGAAGAGCCACAGGAAAGUUACAUUUUUCCAGUUUUUAUUUGUUGUUAAACAUGACGUUUUUCUUUUAAAGGGAACCUCACAGCUUGCUUAUCCUUCAAUGACUAGGGAUGCUCACCGCUUUGGAGAUGCAACAGGGAAGCCCUCGCCCGGGGCUCGCGGGCUGCUCUGCAGGUCCGGCAGCUGGCAGAGCUCUGCGGGUGCAGCAGCUGUCCUGUGCUUUGGGAGAAGGGAGACCUGAGCUGUUCCCUGGCCUGUGAAACACUGAGCAGCCGUGGUGUGCAGCACAGCAACGGACUGCCCCAGCGUCUUUCCGCGGGCAUGGCGCUGACAUCAACAGCACUUGCAACAGCUUCUCAUCGAGUGUUUUCUCCCCAUUCAGGAACUGCUUCACUGGCCUGAUUAGAAAGCAGGAUUGUGCUGCGGAAGGAACAAAACGCAGCAGGCUCGAGUGGCUCGGGGUCUUCCUCCCUCCUGU